CACCACGAAUUAAUCUUCGAGUCAACGUGAAGCUUCCAAGAGCUGACGAUCACCUCGAUUUUUGAACUUGACCAUUUUGAAAUCUUAAAACUAAAAGAUGAGAUACGCUAUCUUCGCCCUUGUUUUGGUUAUGAUGCUAAUGACCAAAUCUGCCGAAUCGUCUUGUAAAAAGAAGUUUUGCAACGUCGAGGGAAAAAAAUACAAUCACAUGAAACACUGGGAACAAUGUAAAUUCAAGUGUGACUUUGAGAACAUAUUAUUCGACAUGUGUUAUACCUGGGUUUACCACGAGAACUCGACCCUUAGCAAGUGCGAGGAUCUUUGCGAUAACAUAAAAGAUUGCAAGCUCUCGGGGAUGCCGAGGUCCUAUCCUUCAGACUGGCCGCCAGCACCCGCCUACUUCUAAAGUGUCGUAUAACUUACGAAAAAUUAACUUCAUUCCCGGGACAUGUAGGAGUUUAGAAUGCAAUAAAUAGAAUCACAUA